UACGUAGGGUGCAAGCGUUGAUCCGGAAUUAUUGGGCGUAAAGAGCUCGUAGGCGGUUUGUCACGUCGGAUGUGAAACCCUGAGGCUCAACCUCAGGCCUGCAUUCGAUACGGGCAGACUAGAAUUCGGCAGGGGAGACUGGAAUUCCUGGUGGUAGCGGUGAAAUGCGCAGAUAUCAAGGAGGAACACCGGUGGCGAAGGCGGGGUCUCCUGGGCCGAAUAUUCGACGCUGAGGAGCGAAAGCGUGGGGAGCAAACAGGA
rnacentral:rRNA from 1 species